UACGUAGGGUGCUAGCGUUGUCCGGAUUUAUUGGGCGUAAAGAGCGUGUAGGCGGCCAGGUAGGUCUGCUGUGAAAACUCGAGGCUUAACCUCGAGAUGUCGGCGGAAACCAUCUGGCUAGAGUCCGGAAGAGGAGAGUGGAAUUCCUGGUGUAGCGGUGAAAUGCGCAGAUAUCAGGAAGAACACCCGUGGCGAAGGCGGCUCUCUGGGACGGUACUGACGCUGAGACGCGAAAGCGUGGGGAGCGAACAGG
rnacentral:rRNA from 1 species